rnacentral:rRNA from 1 species
UACGGGGGGGCAAGCGUUGUUCGGAAUUACUGGGCGUAAAGGGUUUGUAGGUGGCCCGCUAAGUCACACGUGAAAUCCCUCAGCUUAACUGGGGAACUGCGUGUGAGACUGGCAGGCUCGAGGGCAGGAGAGGAACGCGGAAUUCCAGGUGUAGCGGUGAAAUGCGUAGAUAUCUGGAGGAACACCGGUGGCGAAGGCGGCAUCCUGGACCGGUAUUGACGCUGAGGAGCGAAAGCCAGGGGAGCAAACGGG